GUCGAAUCGGAGCUGUAGCCACUGGCCUACGCCAGAGCCACAGCAACGCGGGGUCCGAGCCGCGUCUGCAACCUACACCACAGCUCACGGCAACACUGGAUUAUUAACCCACUGAGCAAGGGCAGGGACCGAACCCGCAACCUCAUGGUUCCUAGUCGGAUUCGUUAACCACUGCGCCACGACGGGAACUCCUCUGUUUUAUUUUUUAAUCUAGCUAAGCGAUUAUCUGCUGUACAUGAAACUGUUAAGUGUGUUCACGGAAAACGGUAAUUUUGGAUAAUUUGUUAUUUGUUAUCUUUCAGCUCUGUCUUCUCAUGACACCCAGGGUUUGAUGCCACAUAAGCCAGUCAUGGAACUUUUCUUACCAACAAUGCUGCUGGGAAAAUAUGAAAGCUCUGCUGUUGGUGCUUUUGAUUUAAUUAGAGGCAGUAAGUAUGUACAUGAAGUUUGUUUUUCAUGGUUGCAUCUU
rnacentral:lncRNA from 1 species